UGCAGGCAAGAAGAUGGAACUGGAAAAUAUCAUCUGAAUGAGGACUGAAGUCAAGGACUGCUGUGGUUGAAUUAAGGAAAGGCUGGAAGAAGCUGAAGAGGUUGGCGACCCCAAAAGAAGACCAGAAGUCUCAACUCUCCCAGACUCCUGAGAUCUCUCAGACAUUGAGUCCCCAACCAGCAGCAUACAAGAACUGGUGGGAGGACCCUGACGCAUAUACAGCAGAGGACUGCCUGGUCUGGCCUCAGUGAGAGAAUCCUUGCCUAACCCUUUAGAGACUUGAGGACCCAGGAAGUGGGGAGACCUGGUCAGUGUCUUCGAGUAACUGUUGGUUGCCUUUGGUGGCCAGAUGAUGGUGUGAGAUCCCCUAAACUGGAUUUACUGACAUUUGUGAGUUGCCAUGUGGGUUCAGGAGAGUCAACCUGGUUUCUCUGGAAGAGGAGAUAGUCCUUUUUAUUACUGAGCCAUACCUCCGUUCCCUCUUUCAAAUUCUGUUUUUAAUUCUUCUCUCAUGUAUUACAGCCCAAAAAAGAGAUUUUUAUCUCUCCUCUCCUCAGGGUCAGUCUUCCCUACCUGUCUACUCCCCCCAAGACCUUUCCUGUAUUAUUGUCAUGUUUGUCUCUAAUGUAGUAUCUUGUUUGUUGAGUUUUGUUAUUUGGUUACACAGUCAUUGCUAAAAGAUUUGUCGUAAGAUUUAAAUUUGUGUUUUGUUUUUCAAACGAUUGUAAAGGAAAUUUAUUGUGUUUCCAAAAUAUUGUCAAUAUUAAAAUAUGAAAACUCUCUAUGUUUAUUUAGUGGUUCAGUGGUAGCUAUCAACACAGCAGAAUCCAAAAUCAGCUUGGAGGCAAGUCCUUCGGACAUCUCUGAGGGGUCAUCUUGUUGUUUGAAGAACCAUCUUAAUUGUAACUAAGAACAUCCCCUGGGUGGAAAAUCCUGUAUUGCAUAAAAUGAUGAAGGCAGGAGAAAUGACUUCAAUUCAACAUGAAAUUAAUCCCCCAGACCAUCAUUAGAGUGCAAAGGUGACCUGAGCAUCUGAGCCUUCAGGAAGACAUGCUUCAUGGAUCUCAAUUUGGAUUUCUGAACAGAGAAACAGGUAUCAUCAAUUACUGGUACUUGUAAUGCACAACAUUGCCAUGAAGAAAACGGAAUUAGCACAGAGCAUGCAGAGUACCUUCCAACUCCAUGAACAUUACAUGUGAAGCUUCAAGUUUGGUAUCUGCACAAUUUCUCAAUGGUUGAUGACAGAACAUCCUGAGAAGAUCACACUGGAGACCACUACUCUGAUCUAAGAUAUAAACUGCAAGUACUUUCCUGAUGAGGAGUAGGACUCUGUGUUUAUACCCUUAACCAAUGCUGUAACUGUGAUCUAUGGCAAGGGAAGAACAAGAUCUCAGGACUGCUUCAUCACCUUACGAAGAUAUUCAAAAAUACAUAAUACUAGAAGAAAUUUUUUUCUUUCAAUCUUAGAAUGUGGAGGGAAUCUUUCUUAAUUAGUGUACAGUUGACAGAGGAUACCUAGGGAGUUUAUUCCCAUGCUGAGAUACCAAUUCCUUACUACUGUCCACAGCAUUCUUAGAUACUUCCUUUUCAAAGUGAUUCUAGCAGAGGCAAAAAGUUCGUAGGUGUUCAUACUGUAAUUAAGAAUUAUUAUGGAAAAAGAAUUUUAUUAUGCAAAAAGUGUUUAUGCAUAGACAGUGGAUAGAAAGGCUCAAUUCUGCAACUCAUGUGUUAUCUUUGACUUUUUAAAAGGAGCUGUUCACUAGAGAGUAGCUGCAAGGAAUGGAAAAUUUGAUGAGCCAAACUGAGGAAGAUUGAUGAAGCAGAGAGCUGACAUCAAUUCACAUUGUGGUGUAAUCAUUUUUCUAUAAACGAUAUAAACUGCAAGUACUUUCCUGAUGAAGAGUAGGACUCUGUGUUUAUACCCUUAACCAAUGCUGUAACUGAGCUGUUCACUAGAGAGAAAUCGCAAGAAAUGGAAAAUUUGAUGCGCCACACUGAGGAAGAUUGAGGAAGCAGAGAGCUGACAUCAAUUCACAUUAUGGUGUAAUCAUUUUUCCAUAAACAAAUAAUGUAAGAAUGGAGAUUUCCUUCAUUUUAAUAUCUACAUGGAUGAGAUUGGUGGCAUUAAGAAAGACAUUGAUGUGGAAACGUAAAGGAUAUUUGUGAUGGAUAUAUGACUAGUUUCUCCUUCAGAACACCAUGGCAGCAACCAAGGUAUCACCAAGAAGCCGUAGAAGCAAUAUGACUACAAAUGUGGUUACUGAGAAACGUAUCUAAUUGUGUUUCAACCCUCAGAGAUACUUCUGAUGUAAGGUAAGAAAUAUAGUAAAAAUAUAUGGGCCUGACAAUUUAAUAUUGGCUUUCAGUAUAGAGGAGAAAACUGUCUCCUGGGCUCUGUGGGAGUUCCAGUUGAGGUGGGCUUUAGGACAAGGAUCUCAUCUGUGUCCCUGGUUACAGGAGACCUGCUGGGAGACAGGCAAGCUAUAGGAUUUAGCAUGGAUCAGACAUGUUGAUCUCAUUUAUUAUGGAGUAAUUAGCUCUGAACAAUGGGUGAAGUAUACACCAGAAAGAGAGAUUGAAAGUAAAAUAGAAGAGACAGCAGAUCAGUUUCAGGCUAACAGCACCUCUCAGCUCACAUGAGGAAUCAAUGAUCUGGCAAUGUUCCAGGGGCAGGGACUGUGUCACACCUUCCCUUAUGCAGACAGGUAAUGUUCAAGGAGCCCAGAUUGAGACUGAGAGCUGAAAAACUGUGGCAAGGCUUUUCUGCUUUUAUAUUGUAGACAGGCACAAAAUGUCAAAUUUGGGAUACUCAGUAGGUACAAAACCAUGGUAAGAACAUGGGUGAAGAUCUAAACACUGUUUAUCCUACAGCUAUCUCGUUUCCAAAAUGUGUCUGAUUUAUAGGAGCUAUAACCCCAACUUGGUACCUUCUCUGAGUUAAAAGCCCACAGACUAGUGAAAAGCUCCAGAGACAUCAACUGAGCAAGUCCUAAGAUGAUAUUUUUUAAAAAUGAAAAAUAUAAAAAAUUAUUUUACAGCUGUGAAGGUCAAAAGUUUAAGAAGACCCAGAUUAUACUAUCAAUAAAUAACAACAUCUACCCCCACAAACCAGGAGCACAUUGGAGUCCUGUAGCAAUUAGUUUAGGUGUCUGAGGCAAUGACCUUUAAAGACAAUUCAGCACUGAAAUUCCUAGAGUUAUAGAAUCUUCCA
rnacentral:sRNA from 1 species